rnacentral:rRNA from 1 species
CGUAGGGUGCGAGCGUUAAUCGGAAUUACUGGGCGUAAAGCGUGCGCAGGCGGUUAUAUAAGACAGAUGUGAAAUCCCCGGGCUCAACCUGGGAACUGCAUUUGUGACUGUAUAGCUAGAGUACGGCAGAGGGGGAUGGAAUUCCGCGUGUAGCAGUGAAAUGCGUAGAUAUGCGGAGGAACACCGAUGGCGAAGGCAAUCCCCUGGGCCUGUACUGACGCUCAUGCACGAAAGCGUGGGGAGCAAACAGGAUUAGAUACCCUGGUAGUCCACGCCCUAAACGAUGUCAACUGGUUGUUGGGUCUUCACUGACUCAGUAACGAAGCUAACGCGUGAAGUUGACCGCCGUGGGGAGUACGGCCGCAAGGUUG